UACGUAGGGCGCAAGCGUUAUCCGGAAUUAUUGGGCGUAAAGAGCUCGUAGGCGGUUUGUCGCGUCUGCCGUGAAAGUCCGGGGUUCAACUCCGGAUCUGCGGUGGGUACGGGCAGACUAGAGUGAUGUAGGGGAGACUGGAAUUCCUGGUGUAGCGGUGAAAUGCGCAGAUAUCAGGAGGAACACCGAUGGCGAAGGCAGGUCUCUGGGCAUUAACUGACGCUGAGGAGCGAAAGCAUGGGGAGCGAACAGG
rnacentral:rRNA from 1 species